UUUGCUGUGAGUCUGUGACUGCAACCAAUUCUUACACACCGUAUUACUGUUCGUUAUUGGUCUGUGUACGAAGUAUAAUUUAUCUGAGAUGGUUCAUUUCGUAUAUAGGAUAGUGUGUCUUUGCGCUCUUUUGGGUGUUUUUCCUUUGACCCCUUUCACAUUCACGUAAUUGUAAAUGCAUAAAGACACUAGCUAGUUCAUAGCAAAAUGGCUAGUUGUGCAGAAACAGUAUAAACGCGUUGUCACGGCUCUUGCUGUUUUCUACUAAGUGAUACAUUGUAACUUUUAGAACGACACUUCGCUCAUUUUUCUCUUACACGCUUUGGAGAUUAAACUAUAUAAAAAAGAAUCAGAGGAGGCGGAACCGGCCCCUGGUGUUCAAAGUUAACGCACUGAGUCACUGCUCCUCAGAGAGACACUUAGCGGUUAGUGAGUUGAUUUGAAGUUAUCUGUUUGUUUGUGCUCUUGUGUGCCUGGCGUCAUAGGGUUUUCCUCGCCAAACAAACAGCAUUUAGCUAGUUUUCCUGUACAAAUGUAUUGACUGACUGAUAGCUAGCUACAGCAGAUAGCCCCGAUUUGGUUGACAGGCAAAUUUGGUAGUGUCGGCGUGUUCUUUGAUUUGACAGAGGACUGACUCAAAAUUACGUUUAACCUUUUAUUUCAAAUUGUAUCAUUAAAAAUAGCUUGCAACCAAUCGCCCAGAAAAAAAAAAAGGAAAAAGGGACAGCUGCUGUCAAAGCCAUCACUCUGCAGCUGUGCCUUAUGUCGGCGUGUUACACAAUAAUAUCAUAUUGAAUAUGAAUGUGAUUGGUGGACUAUAGUUGGGGAGGAGCCGUUGUUUAGACUUAGCUCUCCCUAGUAGGUGCACAGGCUGGUCCCAGCCUCUUGGCACCCUACCACAUCCAAUCCCGGGAGACAGCGCCCUGUAAGGGAAUAAGCCCUGCCUCUUUGUUUACUUCCUGGUUCUGACUCUUGACUAACUGAGCUGUUUCUUCCCAACGGGCGGGGAGUGCUGUACUGCCAACUGCGUUCAAGGCCGCGCCUAUCAGCAAACUCUUAAGUGUUUUAUCUUCUGCGAGGGAGUGUGGGAUAUGAGUGCAAACUGAGAACAAUGCAUUCUUUCUGUUACAGGUCCUCCAUGGGUACUGAGGCUACCUACUGUAUGACUGCACCUGGCUAACUUGGAGAGAGCCAGGCUGACACUGGCAGCAGGUCUUCUUGCUCACACCACCACACACAGGCCCCUACUCCUUGUUCAUCUGUCAGACGCUAGCAAGAUGUAUCAGCGCUCAGAGGUGUGUGUGUCCUAACACUGAAGUUACCACCUUACCUAGACAUUUGUUUUGAACCUCACAGAAUUUACUUUCAUUGCAAAGGACCAGAUCAUAGGGCUUGAAAGGCAGCAGGGAUGACUACUUUGGAUGGAGUGUCACUCAUCUCGGGCCGUGUGUUGGGGUCUCAAUACACAGAGUACCUGACUGUACCUACCAAGAGACAGCCGGCCCCUGAAUUUGUCUUUCUCAAAGAAACAUGGUUUGCUCAUGAGUGCAAAGGGCUAAGACAUAAAGUGUGCUUGGAAUUUACCUUCCAAAUUGUAAAUGAAAAAUUAACAAUAAAUUAUUGUAGAAUUUGUAUGAAUCAAUGAUGGCAGCAAUCCAGAGAGGUCCCAUCUGUUAACAUUCAAUGUACAAAUGUAUUAAUUCUUUCUCUUGUUUUUUCUCAUAACAUCUACCUCAUUCAAAAAUAAAUAUAAGCAAUAUUCUGUUUUGUUGAAAUUGUCAUUCACAAAUGUAAACAAUGUGUAUGUAAUUCAUGAUCGAGUAUAUUGAUUCAGUUGGAGAUUUAAAACUGUAUUUUAAUUUGCUGGAUGAUUAAAAUGGUUUGUGUCCAGUGCACACAUUAAAUAUGUGUAGUAGCUCGUACUGGGCCCAUAAAUGUAUUAAUUCUUAAUCAUAAAUUUGUUGGAUUGUUUUGUAUUAAUCAGAAAGAGGAUACACUAUGUGGCCAAAUUCUGUAGGGAAAAGAAUGUAGCAAUUCAUAAAAUAAAAUUAAUUAUGUUUUUGUAUUGUACCAUUCCCCCGCUAUUGUUGGAGACUAAAUGUUAGCCUUUUAAAAAGUUAAAAGGGGGUUAUAAAUACCUGUUAAUGUAAAGAAAUUAGUUUUUUUUCCCCUUAAAAUCAAAUAAAGGAUGUGU